AGUGAACGCUGGCGGCAUGCCUAACACAUGCAAGUCGAGCGGAAGCACGGUAAGCGUUCUCUUUUAACGUUGGCGGGGGGCGGAUGGGUGACGCAUACAUCAGCAUCCACUUUUACGUGGGGGAUAACGUGGGGCCACUGCCGCUAAUAGCGCAUACUACGUACGGGUUGAAUCAGUAGAUAUUGGGGGCUUUGGCGUUUCAUUUAGCCGAUGACGGAUUAGCUAGUUGACUGGGUAAAGGCACACCAAGGCAACGAUCCGUAGCUGACCUGAGAGGAUGAUCAGCCACACUGGAACUGAGACACGGUCCAGACUCCUACGGGAGGCAGCAGUGGGGAAUCUUCGACAAUGGGCGAAAGCCUGAUCCAGCCACGCCGCGUGGGUGAAGAAGGCCUUCGGAUCGUAAAGCUCUUUUAUUAGGAAAGAACAACAGUAUAAGUAUCUCCGGACGUCUUGACGGUACCCAAAGAAUAAGCACCGGCUAACUUCGUG
rnacentral:rRNA from 1 species